UUGGCUUUAUGGUUUAGGGGUUUUUAAGGUUCACCCUCAGGAAAACGUUUGCUGUAUGAUAUGACAUAAUGCUGAGCUAGUUGUGCUGAAGUUGUAGUAAGCCAAAUGAUCUCAAUUUUCAUUUGUCUGCUGCUUAUUACCUAAUUAUAAAGCCACAACACACCUGGAAUAAAUGAAAACAAGACCCUAUCUUAGAGAUCAAAUGAGGUAAGACUUAUGUGUCCUUAUGAAGUGCAAAAUGAAUCCAAGAAACCGCAGCCAUGAUGUGAAAAGCACAUCGAGUAAACAUGAAUAUCAAUACUGUGGUUGCCUGGGUAAUAUAAGCAGCUGAGGGUUGGAUAAAGUCAUUUCAAAAUAACACCAACCACAAAGGAGAAAUACAGCAUCUGUGUUUGGGUCUUCUUUGGCAUCCUGAAGCAUCACUGCGGCAUAUGCAACAAAUUCCCCCUGCAGCGUGUUGUUGGGUUCACCCCAGGGUUUCAUGAAACUUGAAUGUCUCCUGGAUACCUCAGGAUUUUAAAAAACACCUCACCCAAGUAAAAUAGCUGCUCAUGUUAUACUUCCAGAUGAGCUCUGGGCCCCCUGAAAACCAUUGUGGCCCUCCAUUUUCCAUGAGUCUUAUUUUCUGAUCUGCCAGCUUUUGUAUACAGUUUAUUGGCAGACAUAAUCAGUAGAGCUGGACAGAGAAGAGGUCUGUUAAUUGCACUAAAUUAAACCCUUUUUUAAAAUGAUAAUUAAAACAGGAUCACCUAACAGAGGGAAUAAUAACUGUAUUUUAAUUCAAAAGUGCUAAUGUUUAAUUUCUCUUGUUGUUUAGAAGCCUUUAUGCCUUCCAGCAGACAGCUUAAAUUGUCACAGUGGGAAAAGUACCAGCAGAACUAAUAACAUGAGCAUACGCUAAAUUAAGGCAUGGCAGUUAUUAAUGUUAUUAGUUACACCUUUGUGCUACAAGAUGAAUUGCAAAGGUGUACAAAGGUCUGUUGCAAUAGAACAAAAAAUGAGGAGUCCUUAAUUUAACAGAUAAAGUGAUGCCUUUUAACAGGUGUAAAAAAGCAGAAGUGAUCUGCUGAAUAUCUGAAGUGUUUAAAAGCUGGAAGAGUCAUACAAGGUCAUUUGAAAUUUGUAUUCAGUAAACAGAUUUAAAGCAUUUAGAGGGACACGGCUGAGCUCACAUGGGUUUUGAGGACAGAUUUAUCUGUAUCAUUACCGUUUUGAAGGCAGGAGACACGCUGUCAGAUGAUGUGACCGAGCAAGAGCAUGAAGGAGGAGAAAACAGCACAUUGCUGCUGCUGCUUGUUGCUGCUGCUAUCAGUAUUUUGAAUUUCUGGUCUACCUUUUAUGUCUCUGUGUUUUUAGUGAACAUGUUUUUAACCAGGCUUUUGGUUUCUUCAAGUCCCAUUCUAAUCUUUUUUUUUUUUACUACUUAAAGUGUUCUCAGUGGUCUUUAAAUUGUGAUUAUGAAGUUUUUACCAAAAAUCACGUUACCUGUGUCAUUUUCAAGGGCUUCUCUUCUGCAGAGCUCCAGUAGAUCAUUAGCAAUUCACCUCUGAGUCGUGGGCAGAGACGGCGCUGCUCUGCACACUCGACUUCAAGUUAGCUUGCAGCCUAUCAUUGCCGAUGAAGUUAAAGUGGCAGCUAACAUAGGAGCCAUUCAGCUCUAAGACACUGAAGUCUUUAGGGACAUGAUGAAAGUUAAUAUCAUAAUUGGCUUUCUUACGAGCAUUGCAAUCCUCUCUAUUUCUCCUCUAUAUACAGAGUCCGGCCUGCAUAGCGGGGCUCCGGGGGCGGAGCUUGGAUUGGUUACGUAUGAAAUCUCACUGUUUCUGAACCUGCUGUUUGGGUCUGCCAGAAAUUCACAGAGAUUUCAAUGAAGAAAUACUCAGAAAAGCAAUUUUGCAUUUAGUUUUCUCAUGAUAUGUCCUGUACUACAGAAAAAUGCCAUAUGAACAUAUAAAAAACAAGAAAAAGGCUUUAAGGUCUUUAAGGCUGUACUCCAGGACAGGAGUGAUACAGACUUCUUUUGCUAAGAAUUUGAGGACAUUAUAGAUACAAAAUCUCAUGAUUAUCCGAUUAAAUUUUCAGCAUAUUCAAUUUUUAAAUGUCACACCUUGUAUAUACUAUAAGAAAACAAGUUAGAAGUCAUUUUAGGAUUAGUAAGGUAAAGGAUGAUGUGUGAGAGAAAACGUAAUAAAAACUCCCACAAAAGCCAUCAAACCUUUUAUAACCCUAAGACAUGAAUCUCCUCUGCUGUGGACUGUACUGACUAGAGGGGCCCUCGCUGUUUUGUUUGUGAGUUUAAUGUGUGCUUUGGUUUGUGGAAAGGGGCGUGAUGCCAAUCCUGUGUGCAGCCAGAUUUCUGCUGUCCAUGCUCCGACUCCGAAAUGCAUCAUUAGUGCAUUAUGAUAGGGCCUGCUGAGACGUUGUUUAGGCUUCACUCCUUGACAACCAGGAGAGAUAUAGAUUUGCAGUCAACAAUCUGAACUGAAAAGUGUGCCAGCACACAGCAUGUUGAUAUAGCACAUUAAACGGUGAGUUUUAGAUGUUCUUUUGGACUCCUAGAGUGUAAUUUGCUAUUGGAAACAGGGUGUUAAGCAUCUUAUUUAAUCGAUUCCCCCAGUUUUGUGUCUAUCAGCGCCUUGGUUGUGUACUGUUGAUGCAACCAUCUCUUUAAUAAAACAUUUCCUUUGUAAUCGGUGUUUGGAUGCAGAUAACUUAUUUGCAAUCAAAGUCUUCGUUCCACUUAAACUGUUAUUUAAACAAAAAGAAGAAAAAGCGUAACAGUGAGAUUUUUCGAAUGGAGAUUUGAUUUGACACAGUGUCUCCAGAACAAAAGAUUGCCUCCCAUUUCCUUUUGUGAAUAAUGUAGCAUAUAUUGUGUUUUUCGACAAAGUGACAGCACUUUAUUCUGAGACACAAAGGCACAGGAAAUUGAUAGGUUAAUAGCGUAUAUAUUUGGAAAGUAGAAUUCACACAAGGAAACAAUCAAAGGAGGGCCCGCCUCUGCUGCUCGUCUCUCUGUGAGUCACUUGAGCUUAAUCACUGAUAAUACUGAAUCUAAAAGCAUCAGAAAUGUGUCUGUAAGAGGCAGAGAAAGAACACAGUGUAACCUCUUCUGGUUAAUAUCGAGCCUCAGUGAGUGUCUGACUCCUUCAGUUCAGACCUCCUGCUGUGAGCUUCCUGGUCUCAGUCCUCUGGGAGAGGCUGAACAGUUUAGGGAUCGCCUCUGAACUGACUCGAUACUCAUGAAAUAUUCACGGCAUGUUGGAUUCAUAAUGAAACUAGCAUGUCUUACAUACUAUCAAUCAAAGCUGCUGUUGUUGGAAACAACCACUCGGUAAGCAUCUGUAAUGGCACAUGAAAGCUUGACAGGCUCUCCAUGAGGUAACUGCAGGGCAAAAACAUGUAAAUCACAGGCUCCUCAUUCAUGCUGAUGUCUGGAAAUGUCUUUUUGGCUGUGUAGAAACAGCCUUGCUCAUGUGUCAUUCAUGAAUGAGUUAAAGUAAGAUGACUGAGUUAUAAACAGUUUAUUUUUUUAAAUUUCCUUUUAUUGAUUUUCAUGCAUUUGGAAUCUCUGAAGAUAUCUGGCAAAAGAGUGAGGCCAUGUACUAAGAAGCAGGACUCCAGCAGAGAAACACAUUUCUGUCGAGCAAAGAUACUUCCUAUUUAACAUACAUUUUCCCCAACUGAAAAAUUAUGGCAUCUCGAGCAAGGACAUAUGCAUAGAAAAACAGAAACAUUUAUGCCUUUAAUCUUGAGAUAAAAUACUGCAUAUUUGUUGGUGAUGUUAGAAUAAAUCAAAGUCACAAGCAAGUCUUAAAGAAAACGAAAUGGCUGAUGUUAGACCGUUCCCCUUCGUGCCCUCUUCUAAUUACAAGUUUCAUAAAAGCACUAAAACUGCAUUACCCAUGAUGCACUAUGUGGCCCACAGCAUCAAAUAACUAUGGUCUAUGAAAAUCUGCCAAAAAACAAGAUGACAGCGCUCUUGGCCUUACUUAAAGGGAUAUUCCGACUGCUUGCUUCUCUAGUUACACCAACUUUUAGUAACAAAAUAGCAGUACACAGUGGUCCCAGGAGCCAUGCACUCAACCAAAAAGCCACUCUUUAGCCACAAAUAAUGCUCAGAACUUCAUCAACAGUUCAUAUAGGGUCCCACCCACAGUACUAGCCACCAAACAUCUUUUUAGCUUUGCCUGAUUUUUUUUAACAAAGAGACUAAACCCAACUCACCUACUCUCUUCCAGCAGCCACUUGUUUGUACGGAGACCUCAGGCAGGUCCAUCAUUUGCCUUAGUGGGUCACAAAGAGGCAUCAGUAUUACUUUUAUUCAGUUUCACACCUGCUUCAAAAUUCCUCACAGAAGCUUUAAGGUCAGAUUUUCAAAAUCUCAAAAAGACAUUUAAGAAAUCUGUGACUGACUUUGUAUCAGCAGGUUUUGGGAUGUUAACAACAAGAAAAACAGACUUGAUUUUAUGUCUACGUAGGUAAACUAGAUGCAGUUAAAGGCAUAGUUAAUAAAAGACAACAUGUGGAAUCAUGUCCUCUACAUGAGUGAAUUGUAUGACAUCAAUAAGUUUCAUCAUGCUGUCUUUCAAGAAAUAUAUAUAGUUAUUUGCAGGCUUUUUGCACCUUUGUUUGACAGGGCAAAUAAGAAAUAAGAAAAUAGUGAGGGAAAGUUGGGAUUGGCAUGCAGGGAAGGACUCACAGGCGGGCAUAUGGUGUGCACACCUAGACGGUUAGGCCAGUGGUGCCUCUAUCAUGAUUCUGUCUUUUAACAGUGAAAUGAAUCUCACAUUGUGAGUGUUCACCACAGAGGAAGGGGGAAAAGCCGUUUCUACAGCAUGCUUUAUUAUCUUGUCUGGCACUUACCCCCUAGUAGUGAUAACUUUGAUUAAAAAUUACCUAAUAAAACUGUCAGUUUUGUCUCCGCUGGUCUUGUUUGUUUUUAGGUCAUAAAGCGGCAUCACUGUUCAUUUUAGUCUGUUUAAUAAUCACUCAAACUCCUCACAGGAGCUUUGAAUAAAUAUUUGCUAAAGUCACUGUGCAUGGAAGUAGAUAAACUAAUUGGGAAUAAGUUUUAGCAGCUAAAAAUAAGUUUCAUGCAAGAGUGACUAAAAGUAUGAGCUCAAAAAAUGAACAUCUAAUAAUCAAAACACUUGAAGCUGUGACAGAAGUAAGCAGAGGAAUAUCACGGCUAAAUAAGAGGAGAAUGCUGGCAUCAUUAUAUGGCAGUGUGACUCUGCUGUCAUGGCCUAUCAAGAAUCAUUGUCUUCUAAUUGUGAACAAGACUUAAAAUGAUGUCUCUGCAGUGCAUGGCAGAAAUAUGUCUGUUCUACUUGAAAGUAUGUUUCUUUUUUUUUUUUUUAGUUCUGAAAAAAAACCUCAUCUGUUGUCAUUUCUGAAGUUUGGAUUCUUGCAUUCGCUGUGUGAAAAUGUCAUAUAGAUUGCAGAGCAGCCUUGUUUACUUUUCCCCACAAUCCUCCAUAGAAUUACAUUUUCUAUUCAGUCCUCCCUGUGGUAGCUCAGAUUACUGUGGAUAUGGGCACAGUCAUGAGGGCACACUGUAACAGAAUCAAUCAAUAGAGGAGUACAAUAGUUGGCAUCCAAACUUUGAAUAGUGAGUGGUAUGUUUCAUAGGUGUCCUGAGAUACACGGUGGACUGCUGCAGUUCCUUUUCUGUGGAGCCAAAACAGCAAUAACAAGCCAGAGAUGAACCCCUAUGAUUGAGGAGGAGAAAGUGGCAGGCAGUCCCUCCACCGAUAAUUCAAGUUUAAUCUGAGCUCUGCAGGCGUGCACACAAAGAGUGAGCUGUGCACCCCCAUAGAUUUACUCCCAGUAGUCUAAUGUUAGCAGGCAAACACACACACACACAUACACACACACACACAAACACAGGGAGCUCUAAGAGAAGUCUGGAUACAGCCAGAAUUACUCUCAUUUCCAAAGAAGUUAUCCCUGAUAAGGAAGGAACUGCAACAAGAUUGUGCCGACAUGCCGGGAGCUGAUACAAGCUGCUAUCAGACAACAUGAUAUAAAUCACAUUCAGCUUGAAAGAACUGUUGCAAAGUCUCAGAAAAGUGAAGGAAGGCAGCACAUACACACACACACAGAUGUGGUAAUAGUUACCAUGGAAACAUCAAUAAUUCUGACAGGCUUUAAUUCUGCGAUGAAGUUACAGGUCCGGGCAAAUUUAGAUAAAUAUGAGACGAAAUUAACAUAGAUUCAGUAGAUUAUUUAGACCACUGAAAAGUAAUUUUCUUUCCAUGAUUUUUUGUAUUAACCUAAAUAGAUGCAGCCUAAUAAUCAACUUCACUGUUUUCAUGGAUAAAAUGAUCAGAGUAAGACCUGUAUGCAUGUCUAUUGAGCAUUUUAGAAGAACAAAACCCAUCUGACUCCCUAAGUGUCGGUCCACUAGUCCUAAAUAGAAAAGAAACAGACCAUAAACUUCUUUCUAAUAAAUAUUUUUUCCCUGUAUGGCUCCAACUUAAGAACUGACAUUAAUAAAAACACUCCUCUUUAACCCAAAAUCAGAACCAGCUUUAUCUGUCAAGUGUGUGCACACACAAAACAAAAGGACAUACAUAUACUUUCUUUAUAACCUUGCCUGUAGAAGCCACAACAGGCAUGUUUUUUGUUGUGCGAUUGAAAUACAGAUGUGGAUAACAG
rnacentral:lncRNA from 1 species